rnacentral:lncRNA from 1 species
AAUAUGGAAAUAGGUCUUGAUCAAUGAUACAGGUAAAACUCAGUUGAAUUCCUCAUUGGCUAUGGGAGGGGGGAGAGAGGAGGGGAGGGGAAUAAUGUGAAUCAUGUAGCCAUGGAAAAAUAUAUUAAUUAAUUUUUAAAAAGAAAUAUUACAUUUUACCUGAGUCAUUCUUUAUUUUAUCUCCUUUUCAAAAGUAGUUUUCUAUAUGGCCUCUGGCAUUGUUACUGAGAGAAAACUCAACUCAUUAUGAAUAGAAGAGAUUACAACAUCAGUGAGACUGGCAAGCAUAUGCAAGGAAUGGAAGCUUGAAGGAUUGUCAAUCAAGGAGAGAUGGGAAGAUUCUAAAGAAGAAUCUGGUCAGGAGGGAGGCAGUUAAAUAAGCUAGCACCUGAAACUGGUCAUUCACUCUUUCCUUUUGAACUCUGAGGAAGGAGCUGGCAGACAAACUGCUCUGGAUUCCUGGCUAUUGGCUUCACAUUGAAAGAUUGGAGUAUAACUCUGAAGAUCCUUUCAGUUCAUCAAUAAUAUCCCCUUAAAGACAAAUAACUUUACUUUCCUAUAUUGAAUUUAUAGAAAAUUAGGGAGAUCCUAAUUCCUCUUCCCUCUCCCAAUUCCUUAACCUUACUUCUUUAAAAUAAAUACCUUUUAGAAGGUACUAUAGUAUAUAAU